CGAACCUGGGCCGCACGCAUGCCAGGCUAGCGUGCUACCGCUUGAGCCACAUCCCCAGCCCCCACAUCUCAUUUUUUUUAAUCUUGUGAUAUAUGAAAAGGAUUUAAACUAAAAGUGUCAGCUGAUCUGGUUUUUAUUUUAGGCUUCUGAGUCAAAGACUUCUGGAAAUAGUAUCUCAUUUAAUUAUAGGUCACUAUCUGAACUAUUACUUGUCUUUGUGAAUUAUUACUACUUCAGAAAAUAACAUUCACUAUAAAUUAAUUUCAUAAAUCUCUCCCAUCUGAAACCAUCUGCUGUAUCUUUCAUCAUUUAUAGUUCAACAGGAAUUUCAUAACAACCUACCAUGAACUACAAAACCACAAGUCUUUUAAUAUUAUGAACAAAAGCUGUUUUCACCAUAGAGUUAGGUUAGCUUUAGUAGGCUGAGCAUAGAAACUUAGGUCUCUGUAUUGAAAGGGAAAUAUUAGAAGCAGCUUCACCACUGUAGUUAAAUGAGAAAUCUUAUGACAGGGUGUUUCUUCUCUGGCAGCACUUUGCAAGGCCAUUGUUUUCUACUGCCUCAUGUUCUCCUUUUAUGAAGCGCAUGCUCCCACCAGCUAAAAGGACAGAGCCAUUAACAGCAUGGUAGAUGUGUCUUAGAACAUUUAUUUUAUGCUGGCAGCUCCAAGAAUUUGUCAUCCUGCUUGAAUGUUUUAUAUGCGUCUAGUCCAACUUCAGAAUGACACUUGUUUUAAUAUUAGUUGUAUUUACAAGUUCAAUUUCUUAGUAAUAAGGUUUGAUCUCCUGUCUUGUAGAUUGUUUUAUACAGAAGAAUAUAUAAACAUUUUGUGAAGUCUACCGAUUAGAGGAUAGGGGUUAGAGGCUUAUGUAAGAAGAUAGAAAUUAAUGCCUUUCUGGUGCUUUUGGAGUUGGCAAAAGCAAUUUAUUUUUCAUGCUUCACAGGGUCUUGACAAUUUUGAUUUUGUUUUCUUUGAAAGCAAACCUGUUUGAAUCGAAUGAUGUAGGGAGAACCCAAAAAGAGAAAAAGCCAGCAGCCUCUUCAAUGAAAAAAAUGAGUCUUCCAGAUCUUUUAACUUCUAGUCUUUUAUUACCUCUUCAAUGAAAAGAGGCUGUAUGAUUAUUACAGAGGAAAGAAACUAGGUUGGCAAUUUGUAGCUGGUUGAAGCAGUACAUUGUUAGUGAAGACACUAUCUCAUUUGUGUGUGUGUUCUCCAUAUUUUUCACUAUGCCCAUAUAAUACAAGACUCUUAAUAAAUUGCUAUGUGCAUACAAGGACACUAAGAAGAGUGUAACUUUUUAAGACUAUUUAUAACAUUAUAAUCAUGAAAGUGAAUAGUCAGAUUUUGAAUGAGCUGGUAAUGGAAUAAAGCACAUGGGAAGAUCUUUAAUUCAUAUAGAAUUGUAAUAAGCUGUGGGAUUUCUUCUCUCUCAAAGCAGUCAGGUUGUUUUGCUUGUUACUCUCUGCUCUUACUGAUACUUGGGGUCUUUGCAAGCAAACUUCUGUUAUUCUUUGCAAAGAAGAAAACAAAACUUCUGGGAUUUAAGCUUGAAAGGAGAAACUCUAAAGUUCUGGUUCGGUUAGAAUCUACUGUUUGCAAAUUUAAUCAAGGUCUUCCACAGGCAUCAGCUUGACAUUAAAUUUAAGUGCCCAUUAAAGUGGGAAUUUGACAGCAGUUCUGAAUGUGAAGCUCAAUCUGAGGACAUCUUUACAGCUGGAAGGGAAAAAAAAAAGUUGAGAUGCCUCAAACCACUGUGGUAAUUAGAUCCAUUUGUUAACUUCUUCUCUAAUAUGGGCAAAGGAAGGGGAGGGAAAGGUCGACCAGGCUGGAGCCGGGCAGGCAGUCCAGUCAUUCCUACAGAAAUGGGCAGGCGCAGGGUCUUGUGCUACAGAAUAGUAAAUACCCCUCUGGUAAGGUGGAGAAGUACUUCAG
rnacentral:lncRNA from 1 species